rnacentral:rRNA from 3 species
ACAUGCAAGUCGAGCGGUAGCACAGAGAGCUUGCUCUCGGGUGACGAGCGGCGGACGGGUGAGUAAUGUCUGGGAAACUGCCUGAUGGAGGGGGAUAACUACUGGAAACGGUAGCUAAUACCGCAUAACGUCGCAAGACCAAAGUGGGGGACCUUCGGGCCUCAUGCCAUCAGAUGUGCCCAGAUGGGAUUAGCUGGUAGGUGGGGUAACGGCUCACCUAGGCGACGAUCCCUAGCUGGUCUGAGAGGAUGACCAGCCACACUGGAACUGAGACACGGUCCAGACUCCUACGGGAGGCAGCAGUGGGGAAUAUUGCACAAUGGGCGCAAGCCUGAUGCAGCCAUGCCGCGUGUGUGAAGAAGGCCUUCGGGUUGUAAAGCACUUUCAGCGGGGAGGAAGGCGGUGAGGUUAAUAACCUCAUCGAUUGACGUUACCCGCAGAAGAAGCACCGGCUAACUCCGUGCCAGCAGCCGCGGUAAUACGGAGGGUGCAAGCGUUAAUCGGAAUUACUGGGCGUAAAGCGCACGCAGGCGGUCUGUCAAGUCGGAUGUGAAAUCCCCGGGCUCAACCUGGGAACUGCAUUCGAAACUGGCAGGCUAGAGUCUUGUAGAGGGGGGUAGAAUUCCAGGUGUAGCGGUGAAAUGCGUAGAGAUCUGGAGGAAUACCGGUGGCGAAGGCGGCCCCCUGGACAAAGACUGACGCUCAGGUGCGAAAGCGUGGGGAGCAAACAGGAUUAGAUACCCUGGUAGUCCACGCUGUAAACGAUGUCGAUUUGGAGGUUGUGCCCUUGAGGCGUGGCUUCCGGAGCUAACGCGUUAAAUCGACCGCCUGGGGAGUACGGCCGCAAGGUUAAAACUCAAAUGAAUUGACGGGGGCCCGCACAAGCGGUGGAGCAUGUGGUUUAAUUCGAUGCAACGCGAAGAACCUUACCUGGUCUUGACAUCCACAGAACUUUCCAGAGAUGGAUUGGUGCCUUCGGGAACUGUGAGACAGGUGCUGCAUGGCUGUCGUCAGCUCGUGUUGUGAAAUGUUGGGUUAAGUCCCGCAACGAGCGCAACCCUUAUCCUUUGUUGCCAGCGGUUAGGCCGGGAACUCAAAGGAGACUGCCAGUGAUAAACUGGAGGAAGGUGGGGAUGACGUCAAGUCAUCAUGGCCCUUACGACCAGGGCUACACACGUGCUACAAUGGCAUAUACAAAGAGAAGCGACCUCGCGAGAGCAAGCGGACCUCAUAAAGUAUGUCGUAGUCCGGAUUGGAGUCUGCAACUCGACUCCAUGAAGUCGGAAUCGCUAGUAAUCGUAGAUCAGAAUGCUACGGUGAAUACGUUCCCGGGCCUUGUACACACCGCCCGUCACACCAUGGGAGUGGGUUGCAAAAGAAGUAGGUAGCUUAACCUUCGGGAGGGCGCUUAC